rnacentral:lncRNA from 1 species
GCACACGUUUUUUUUCCAAAUUGCACUCAAAACCAUGCACACUAUUACCUAUUAACAUUUCUUUUAAAUCAGCAUCUUCUUUACGCCAAUCUUCCAACUGCUGGAUAUAAACAGCUUCUUCGGGACUAAGAGGAGCUACUUUUAAUUCAUCUAAUUCUGACUUGGGAAUUCCAAGGCCAAUCAAUGCUUUAGAGAUUUUCAGCCAUAAGUUCUCAAACUCAUGGUCAGCGAUCUCUGUGGUCGUAAUAUGAGCAUGAACUUUAUUUCUAUAAAAUUUGAUCCUUGCUAUGUUAGCUGCAACUGACGUGUCAGAAACUGGAGGCAAGACAUCCCAUCCACUUGUUGGCCUGGUCAACCCGCAUAUGUUUCGCAAAAGUACAGUCAACAAAGUCACGUCAAAGGUCUGUGAAUCUGGACCAGACGGAGAACCAGAUGGAGGAUACAAAAGUUUCCAUUGUGAAGGAUUGAUCACCUUGUACCUCAGUUUCUGAAGUAUUGCUUUGUUUGUAUUUAGCACUGUAGCUAAAGUGGAUGGAGGAUACAUGAAGUCGAAUGCCGCUCUUAAUGCUUGUGUUCCUUUAUUUAUUAAAAGUUGGCUUAGUCUCGCACCGUUGCCUUGGUCGUUCAGAUUUUGCGAAGGCGAAGCCAUUCCC